UUCAGUCUCUAGUGAUUCACUGACAGAAUGGCCUCCUACUUUCUGCUGAUGUGUGUUGCACUGGUGUUUGCUCACAAUUCUAGUGGACAGAAUAUUCUGACUCAGACUCCAGAGGUUCAGACUGUUCUAGCAGGUCAAGGUGUCUCAAUCAAGUGCAAAGCCCAAAGCUCUAUAAGAAGCAACUACCUGAAUUGGUACCUGCAGAGACCUGGUGAAAGGCCUAAACUUCUGAUCUAUGCUACAAGCAACCUUGCCUCUGGGAUCCCAGCACGUUUCACUGGGAGUGGAUCAGGAACUGACUACACUUUGACCAUCAGUGAUAUCCAGACUGAAGAUGCAGGAGUCUAUUACUGUCACCAGCCUUGGGACCCAGACACACAGUGA